AGCCCUAGCACAGGUGCUGCAUGGCCGUCGUCAGCUCGUGCCGUGACGGUGUUGGUUAAGUCCCGCAACGAGCGCAACCCCCGCCGUUAGUUGCCAGCGGUUCGGCCGGGCAACUCUAACGGGACUGCCCGCGAAAGCGGGAGGAAGGAGGGGACGACGUCUGGUCAGCAUGGCCCUUACGGCCUGGGCGACACACGUGCUACAAUGCCCACUACAAAGCGAUGCCACCCGGCAAACGGGGAGCUAAUCGCAAAAGGUGGGCCCAGUUCGGAUUGGGUCUGCAACCCGACCCCAUGAAGCCGGAAUCGCUAGUAAUCGCGGAUCAGCCAUGCCGCGGUGAAUACGUUCCCGGGCCUU
rnacentral:rRNA from 1 species